AAUCCAUAGAGAGAGAUGGAGGGACAGGCCCUUUGAUAUCUCAGCAACCUGCUUUUAAGUGUGGUGCUAAUUCCUGAUAGAUGGUUU
rnacentral:ncRNA from 20 species